AGAUAAGUUACAAAAGCAUAGAACAGAAAAUUAAGGCAAGCAAUUAAUUAAGAAACAUUGUAAAUAGGUGAGUUUUGAGAGCAGUUUUAAAGGUCUGGAGUGAAGAGAUAACACGGAGAUCUUGUGGUAGUUUAUUCCAGAGCUUGGCAGCGGAAAUGCAGAAAGCCCUACCACCCACACUAGAUAGCUGGAAUUUGGGUACUGCAAGCAAAUUUUCAGAGCUCGAUCUCAAAGUACGGGCAGGGACAUAGGGGAGAAUUAAUUCAGAAAGGUAAGAAGGUGCAAACCCAUGACGGGCCUUAAAAACUAAAACAAGAAUCUUAAACUGAAUACGAUAGGUGACAGGGAGCUAAUGUAAUUGCUGUAAAACCGGAGUGAUGUGGGCAUAUUUUUUGGUAAAUGUAAGAACACGAGCAGCUGAAUUUUGGAUAAACUGCCAGCGACUAAGGACUUUGUUGGGUAGGCCAUAAAACAAGGAGUUACAGUAAUCCAGACGCUACGUAAUAAACGCAUGAACAACAGUUUCAGCAUCUUUGAAUUUUAAAGAUGGUCGUAGGCGGACAAUAUUACGAAGGUGAAAAAAACAGGAUUUGACUAGCUGAUUGAUGUGGGAUUCAAAACGUAGACUAGAAUCAAACAUUAUACCAAGAUUGUGUAUAGUGGAGGAAGGAUGAACUAUAACUCCGUCAAUGUUAAUGGAGUAGUCAGGUCGGGAGGAGACAAGGGAUCUAGGGUCAACUAACAGAAAUUCAGUUUUUUCAGUAUUUAACUUUAAGAAAUUUUGUGCCAUCCAUACUUUGAGAUCAUGCAAGCAAGAUGUAAAAGAAGAAGGGGGGGAAAACAGAAUUGGGCUGUAUGGUAAAUCAUCAGCGUAACUGUGGAAAUUUAGACCAUGGCGCCGGAUGAUCUGACCCAGAGGAAGCAUAUAGAUUAAGAAUAGAAGUGGAUCAAGGACAGAUCCUUGAGGCACUCCAAGAGAAAAAGUGACAGAAUGAGAUUUGGAUUUAUCAAUGCUAAUGAACUGUUGCCUGUCUGAGAGAUAUGAACCCAGCCACUGUAAGACAGUAUCAGUAAUACCAAUCUCCGACAAACGAGAUAGGAGUACAGAAUGGCAAACAGUAUCAAAAGCUACACUCAGGUCUAAAAGAACCAGAAGGCUGAGGGCACCCGAAUCAGAAGCAAGGUGGAGGUCAUUCACUACUCUUAGAAGGGCAGUUUCUGUACUAUGGAGAGGGCGAAAUCCGGACUGAAAUGAUUCAUACAGAUUAUUUUUAUCCAAGUGAGUCUGUAAUUGUUUGGCGACCACCUUUUCUAGGACCUUAGAUACAAAAGGAAGGUUAGAAAUUGGUCUGAAAUUACUUAGAACUGACCAGAAAAAGUGUUCUACAUGCAAGUGUUUCUCCUUAGUGUUUGAGCUUGAAACCAGUUACCUUUUUUUGACAUUUUGGUAAUCUAGGUUAGAUCUGAACUUUUUAACAGAAUCUUCACAUGAAACCCAUUGAGACUUAUGAUUAAUUUAAAACUACUGGUUAGAAAGGUGUAGACACUUGACUAAAGUCAUCUUGAUUGACAAACCUUAACGUCUUACCUUACAGCUGCAAAAUAAUUGUACAAUGGCCAAAACAAAUCUCCUAACAAAAUUCAACUUAUUACAAACGCACUACCUUACAACAGGUCAAUAAAAAAAA